GAGGCAUGAUUUGGGUCGGCAGUGUGGGGCUGUCCCCUGCAGGGCCUGGAAGCUGCAGAGUGAACGGGCUGUGGACCCUGCUGGGUCCCUCAGGGUGGGCCUGGGGAAAGAAGGUCAAGGGCUGAGGGCCCUGAGGGGCCUUGGUUGAAAGGGAAGCUCUUGAAGGGACGGGGUGGGGCGGAGGGCAGGUGAGAGAGGAGAGCCAUUGGAGGUUGCGCCCCGGGCCAGGCCGAUCAGGAACUGGGACAGCAGAGCGGAGGCCAGAGAGAUGCGGAGGCCCGAGGAGGGCCACAGCGCGGCGGAGCGGGAGGCUGGUCUCGAGGCAGAGUGAUGAGAGAUGGAGGAACCAACGGCGCCAAGAAGGGGUGGAGCCUGGGGCCUGGCCUGGGCACCGUCCUUCUACCCGUUCGCAGCAGCACCUGUUGGAAGCCGGGACGGCUCCUGGAGGCAGAGGGGGCCUGCCCGGUUCUCUUCACUCAGCUCCACUUCCGGAGGCUCCCUGAGCGAGGUCCCGGCUGCCGUUCUGAGCCCUGAGUUCCAGGCCUUUGACUGGGACAUGGAGGCGGGGCAUGAGAAGUGACUCCUUCUGUGGCCGGCUCACUGCCCUGCAGCCUGCUCAGGGGCACUCUGCGGUCACCCCAGCCACUUGCAGCUGCCUCCGGGGCCAAGGAGGAAGAGAGAGACACAGGGAGACCACCCCGUAAAGAAUGGAGGCCGAGACUGGCAUGAUGAUGAAUCUGAAGGCCAAGGAUUGCAGGUAGCCACCAGGAGCUGGGAGAGGGGUCCGGAACAGAUUCUGCCUCAGAGCCUGCAGAAGGCACCAGCCCUGCCCAUGCCUUGCUUUUGGACCGCUAUCCUCUGGAACAGUGAGGGAAUACUUUGUUGUUGUUUUAAGCGAAGCUUGGCCAAGCUUGUGGUACCUUGUUAGAGCAGCCCCAGGGAACUGAUACAGAGGCUGAUGUUAGGAAAUUCUUGCUGUAGAUGCUCCUCCAGAGACACUUGAGAGAGGAACUGAGGCCCCUGCCCUCAACCACACGGAGCGGGGCCCGUGUCUGAGGAGCUGCAGUGUGGCUGGCUUUGUGCCUAGGAUUCCGUGAGGCUGGAAGGUAACAACCCCAGGGUGGGCUCAUUCUACUGAAAAGCUGAGGGGGCAGAGUAAAAUGGGACCUGUCCAAAGUGUCAAUCUGAAGGUAAGACAAGGGCAAAGGAGUCAGUUGAUUCAUUCAUUCAUUCACUCACUCACCUCUUACUUAGGGAGCCCUACUAUGUGCCUGGCCCUGGGAACACAAAGUCCAGAGACAAGAACCAGCCUGCCCUGCCCUCAGGAAGCUUGAGCCUGAGGGGUUCAUGCUCAUCAACCAGGAGGUUGGGUCCAUGAGCAUUAAGAUUUCUUCCAGCUCUGACAUUUGGUGACUAAAAGGGAGAAAAAGGGUGAUCUGGCUGGGGGCCAUCACCCUGCCACCAGGGCAUUUUUGGGGGCCACUGCUGUCUCUCUGCCUGGACAAGGCCAAGGAGGGGCUAUAGGGGAUGUGAGCCCAUGAGGACGUGGAGCUGGACCCCUAAUUUCCUCUACAGGCACAGGUGGUGAUGCACACUGUCGGGGACAAAUGCUGGCCCUGCCUGACCAGUGCAGCCACUGGCGGGACACUAUCUGCGGCGAGACGGGCCUCAGCGGCCACCACUAAUUGUACAAAACUGAAACAUCUCAAGAAUAUUUUCAGCCCAUUUGCACUUAUCAAAUAGCACACUGGAAACCCCAGCAAUUUGCGUAGGAUCCUUUCCAGAAUGAGGGAGAUUUCACAAACUUGGCCUCGUGCAGGGUGAGCUGCUUGGGAUUUCAGCCUCAGAGUGGGCCUGGCCUCCUUGUUCCCAUUUGCCCCACCUUCUCCCAGGGCUCCAGCCACUCCCCAGCACACCUGGCCGCACCAUGCAAGGCAACUCUGAGACAGACACCCCAGCCACGAGAUGUCUGUGUUCCUUCGGCUCUUUGGCUUCUCCUUCUUGGCAUUUUUGGCAGUUCCACGGUGCUCAGCAGCUGGGCAUCUGGCCGACUAAGAAAUGCAAAGUUCGGGGCCUGAAGCCGCUGCUGCCUUGGCUGUGGUUUGUCUGAAGCUCCAUUUCGUUUGGGCUAGAGGUGAACGCUUCCCUCCGGAGACCCCUGCAGGCGGGGUCUGAAGCGAAGGUCAAGGAACGGUCGCUUCCACCGUGGCUGGGUGGCGUUCGUCUGGCACAGACACAGCCUGACAACAUGCUGACGGGUGGCCCAGGAGCAGUGACAGGGCCAGCGGACUGGAGGAGCUGCCCGAGGCCAGACACGGCUUACAGGCCUCCCUGCUCCUUCCCGGCCACAGUUGCACAACAGCCCUGACUGUUAGCUCCCCAGACGCUUUUAUUAACAGUCCCAUGUUACCCGACAAUUGAACAUAAUUAAGACAGAACAACCUUUGCAGUUGACUUUACCUUUUAAGACCUCACAGACUUUUACAAGGACGUCCCAGAAUGGCUGCUUUUCAAAGGGAAGGCAAGAGAUAUGCUGAGAGCCCCAAGAAAGAGGGGAACCCCGAAAUGCCUCAUACUCAUAAACAAAAUGAAGAAAAAACACAUACUGUGAUUUACAGUUAUAGAAGUAACAGACGGUCACAGAAGACAAUUUGGAGGGUACAGCAAAGUAAAAGAAAUGAAACAGAAGCCACUCACAAUCCCACCCCCGGAGACCACUGUCAGUGUUUUGGGGGAUACGUAUCCUUCCCGAAUAUGAAAAUCUCUCAUAACAUCUGUACCUUAGAAAUAAAAAUGGAACCAGACUUUGACACUACA